UAACAACCUACCUUCCUAAUUGAUUACGGAUUAGUUACAAGUUACUAGAAAAGAAGUUAGAGGUUGUAGUUGUUAUAUUAGUCGUUUUAUUGUGUUAUUUUUGGUUUGAUAGUUAGAGCUCAAAUAUAACUGAACUUAAGUUGCUGGAGCCUCCGUACAAGUAGAUGGAUUGGUCGAAAUGGUUGAUUUUCUAUUUCAUUGGUUCAGGAAGAGAGUCCAUUAACGAUCCUCAACAUCCGGAUUUUUAUGAAGGAGAAGAGAUGUGGAUGGCACGAGGCUUCAUUAAUCAGUUUUUUUUAUGGAGCUGUAAAUCUGAAAGAAGAAAGAUGAGUGAAGCAAAAAGUUAUUCAAGAUAUCUUGGAUAGUUCUAAGUCGCAAGAAGAAAGACUGCUCGACCAAAAACGAGAGGAUCACAUAGAAGCCCUCCUUGACCAGUGUUGGAUUAUCACAGGGCUAGCUAAAAUGAAAACAUGGCAGAUUGGCUGAAUGGGUCAAAACUUGGUACAAAGAGCAGUUUUCACUGUGGGCAAGAUAGAUGGUAAUGGGUCAAAAUAGGUUUGUUUUGAACCGGGUCAUCUUGAGUGUAGGUUGAAAUGAGCCAGUCUGACUUUCAACCAUGUUUUAUCUUUUUAUUUUCAUAAAUAUUUAAGCCUUAAUUGUAACUACAAAAACAAUAUAGUUACAAAAGUAAGGGUUAUGUACUUAUGUUAGUGUUAACAAAAAUGUAAACAUGGUUAAUGGGUCAAAAGUUGAUAUGCCGAGCAGUUUCCACUUUAGGCAAAAUGGACG